rnacentral:rRNA from 1 species
AUGAUAGAAGAGUUGGAAGCACUGAGGAAAAACAAGACGUGGGUGCUAACCACAUUGCCGGCAGGAAAGAAAGCAGUGAGUUGUAAGUGGAUCUAUACAGUGAAGCAGAAUCCUGAGGGGAAGGUGGAACGGUAUAAGGCUAGAUUGGUCGCCAGAGGAUAUAGUCAAACUUAUGGAAUGGACUAUGACGAGACGUUUGCUCCAGUGGCAAAGAUGAACACAGUAAGGAUAUUGGUUUCCUGUGCUGCAAACUUUGGGUGGAAGUUGCAUCAAUUAGAUGUCAAGAAUGCCUUCUUGCAUGGUGGGUUGAGGGAAAAAGUGUACAUGGAGAUACCACCAGGUUUUGGUACUUCACAGACCACGGGGAAGGUAUGCAGGCUGAAGAAAUCCUUGUAUGGACUGAAGCAAUCGCCGAGGGCUUGGUUUGAUAGGUUCAGAUGUGCUGUCCGUGCUAUGGGGUAUGGUCAAUGUAAUGGUGACCACAUGGUGUUCUACAAACACUCACUCUCUGAUCGGAAGAUCACCAUCCUUGCAGUUUAUGUGGAUGACAUUAUCAUCACUGGAGAUGAUAAGGAGGAAAUAGAGAGAUUGAAGGGGUGUCUAAGCAAGGAGUUUGAGGUAAAGGAUUUGGGCAACCUAAAAUACUUCCUUGGCAUUGAAGUGGCUCGGACAGAGAAGGGAAUAUCUUUGUGCCAACGGAAAUACACCUUGGAUCUCUUGAGUGACAUGGGCAUGAUGGGAUGUCGUGCAGCCCCUACGCCGAUUGAACAAAAUCAUCGAGUGACAGCUCAAUCAGGUGAGCUGGUGAAUAAGGAAGAUUAUCAGAAAUUAGUUGGGAGGUUAUUGUACUUGUGUCAUACCAGGCCUGACAUUACGUAUGCCGUGGGUGUGGUGAGCAGAUACAUGCAUGAACCAAGGAGUGGGCAUCUUGAUAUUGUGCACAGAAUUCUGAGAUACUUGAAGGGGACUCCGGGUAAAGGGUUGUGGUUUGCGAAGAGUGGACAUCUUGAGGUGGAUGGCUAUAGUGACUCUGAUUGGGCCAGUUGUCAAGAUGAUAGAAGAUCAACUUCUGGCUACUGUGUGUUUGUGGGAGGAAAUUUGGUGUCAUGUAGAAGCAAGAAACAGACAGUUGUGUCUAGAUCAACAGCAGAAGCUGAGUACAGAGCAUUAUCUCAAGGGUUGUGUGAGAUGCUCUGGGUGAAGUACCUACUGAGCGAGUUGAAACUUCUGAGGAAGGGCCCCUUGAAGGUGUGGUGUGACAAUCAGUCAGCUAUAGCCAUUGCUAAUAACCCAGUUCAACAUGAUAGGACAAAGCAUGUGGAAAUUGAUCGCUUCUUCAUUAAGGAGAAACUUGAUGUUGUGAUCAUCAGCCUUGGUCAUGUCAGUUCUGGGCAGCAGUUUGCAGAUUGCUUGACAAAGGGACUAGGAACAAAGGACUGUAACUUGGCAUGUGACAAGAUGGGAAUGAUAGAUAUCUACCACCCAUCUUGA